rnacentral:rRNA from 1 species
CCUACGGGUGGCAGCAGUGGGGAAUAUUGCGCAAUGGGCGAAAGCCUGAUGCAGCGACGCCGCGUGAGUGAUGAAGGUCUUCGGAUUGUAAACCUCUGUCAGCAGGGAAGAACGGUCCCUGUGCUAAUCAGCAGUGCAUUGCCGGUACCUGCAAAGGAAGCACCGGCUAACUCCGUGCCAGCAGCCGCGGUAAUACGGAGGGUGCGAGCGUUAAUCGGAAUUACUGGGCGUAAAGCGCUCGUAGGCGGUAUGUCAAGUCAAGGGUGAAAUCCCCGCGCUCAACGUGGGAACUGCCGUUGAAACUGGCAAGCUGGAGUGUGGGAGAGGAUAGUGGAAUUCCAGGUGUAGGGGUGAAAUCCGUAGAGAUCUGGAGGAACAUCAGUGGCGAAGGCGACUAACUGG